CUGGCGGCGUGCCUAACACAUGCAAGUCGAACGCGAAAGUCCCGCAAGGGAUGAGUAGAGUGGCAAACGGGUGAGUAACACGUGGGUGACCUGCCUUCGAGCGGGGGAUAACGUCCCGAAAGGGACGCUAAUACCGCAUGACAUCCUGCCUUUGAAGAGGUGGAGAUCAAAGCUGGGGAUCGCAAGACCUGGCACUUGAAGAGGGGCCCGCGUCUGAUUAGCUAGUUGGUGGGGUAACGGCUCACCAAGGCAACGAUCAGUAUCCGGCCUGAGAGGGCGGACGGACACACUGGGACUGAGACACGGCCCAGACUCCUACGGGAGGCAGCAGUGGGGAAUUGUUCGCAAUGGGCGCAAGCCUGACGACGCAACGCCGCGUGGAGGAUGAAGACCUUCGGGUCGUAAACUCCUUUCGAUCGAGACGAAUGGCUUCCGGGUGAAUAGUCCGGGAGAAUGACGGUACCGAGAGAAGAAGCCCCGGCUAACUCCGUGCCAGCAGCCGCGGUAAUACGGGGGGGGCAAGCGUUGUUCGGAAUUACUGGGCGUAAGGGGCUCGUAGGCGGCCAACUAAGUCAGACGUGAAAUCCCUCGGCUUAACCGGGGAACUGCAUCUGAUACUGGAUGGCUUGAGAUUGGGAGAGGGAUGCGGAAUUCCAGGUGUAGCGGUGAAAUGCGUAGAUAUCUGGAGGAACACCGGUGGCGAAGGCGGCAUCCUGGACCAACACUGACGCUGAGGAGCGAAAGCCA
rnacentral:rRNA from 1 species